rnacentral:tRNA from 1 species
GCUUCGGUCGUCUAGUUCGGUCAAGGACACGUCCCUCUCAAGGCCGUGACCCGGGUUCAAAUCCCGGCCGAAGCAC